GCUCACGUGGCGGAAUUGGUAGACGCGCUAGAUUCAGGUUCUAGUAAGUAACAUUGUGCUGGUUCGAGUCCAGUCGUGAGCACCA
rnacentral:tRNA from 3 species